rnacentral:rRNA from 1 species
AUUGAACGCUGGCGGCAGGCCUAACACAUGCAAGUCGAGCGGAUGAAGGGAGCUUGCUCCUGGAUUCAGCGGCGGACGGGUGAGUAAUGCCUAGGAAUCUGCCUGGUAGUGGGGGAUAACGUCCGGAAACGGGCGCUAAUACCGCAUACGUCCUGAGGGAGAAAGUGGGGGAUCUUCGGACCUCACGCUAUCAGAUGAGCCUAGGUCGGAUUAGCUAGUUGGUGGGGUAAAGGCCUACCAAGGCGACGAUCCGUAACUGGUCUGAGAGGAUGAUCAGUCACCCUGGACCUGAGACCCGGUCCAGACCCCUACGGGGGGACGCAGUGGGGAUUUUUGGAAAAUGGGCGAAAGCCUGAUCCAGCCAUGCCGCGUGUGUGAAGAAGGUCUUCGGAUUGUAAAGCCCUUUAAGUUGGGAGGAAGGGCAGUAAGUUAAUACCUUGCUUUUUUGGCGUUACCAACAGAAUAAGCCCCGGCUAACUUCGU